GGUCUUGUAGCUCAGUUGGGCGAGUAUCACCUUGACAUGGUGGGGGUCGCUGGUUCGAGACCAGUCGGGACCA
rnacentral:tRNA from 1 species